rnacentral:rRNA from 2 species
UCUCUGGUGUUCAACCUUGCGUGUUUGAUCUCCGGGGGGGAAAUGUUUAAUGGGGGUAACUAUCGCCCUAAGGGGGGGAGCCCCCCAACCCCUAGCCAUUCUUCUUUUUUCGGGUGGGAUGCCCAGGGGUUUAAAUCCUGUUGGGUUCCCCACCCUUUACGCCUUUGUUUCACAUACCCCACAGACUAUGCCUUCGCCGCGUGGGUUUCUUCCCUCACCUUGCAAAGGAAACACAUUUAACGGAAUUCCAUGUGGAUUUUCCCCCGUCAAUGCGUCCCUAAACAAAAGGACUUCCUCGGGUUUCCGCGGGGGGCCCGCUUUGUAUUUCUGAUGGAAGGCGGGGGAAAUUUGGGGUUAGGGGGGGGGACCGCGGGUUUCCCCCCCUUAAAAACCCCAAAAACCCACGGUUUUUGGGGGGGGCGGGGGGUUACCCCCCCUUUAAGAGCCGAAAAAACCCGAGGGUUUGAGUGGGGCAGGGGGGAACCCCCCUCUUUAAAGCCCAAAAAACCCCAGAGUUUGAUCGUGGCUCGGGCUGGAACACCUCCUUCUAGACCGCAGAAAUCCAGAGUUUGACAUGGCUCAGGACGAACGCUGGCGGCGUGCCUAAUACAUGCAAGUCGAGCGGAGAAAUGGGAGCUUGCUCCCAUUUCUCAGCGGCGGACGGGUGAGUAACACGUGGGCAACCUGCCCUACAGACUGGGAUAACUCCGGGAAACCGGAGCUAAUACCGGGUAACACGUAGCAUCGCAUGAUGCAACGUUGAAAGUUGGCCUUUGGCUAACACUGUAGGAUGGGCCCGCGGCGCAUUAGCUAGUUGGUAAGGUAACGGCUUACCAAGGCCACGAUGCGUAGCCGACCUGAGAGGGUGAUCGGCCACACUGGGACUGAGACACGGCCCAGACUCCUACGGGAGGCAGCAGUAGGGAAUCUUCCGCAAUGGACGAAAGUCUGACGGAGCAACGCCGCGUGAGUGACGAAGGCCUUCGGGUCGUAAAGCUCUGUUGUUAGGGAAGAACAAGUACCGUUCGAAUAGGGCGGUACCUUGACGGUACCUAACCAGAAAGCCACGGCUAACUACGUGCCAGCAGCCGCGGUAAUACGUAGGUGGCAAGCGUUGUCCGGAAUUAUUGGGCGUAAAGCGCGCGCAGGCGGUCUCUUAAGUCUGAUGUGAAAGCCCACGGCUCAACCGUGGAGGGCCAUUGGAAACUGGGGGACUUGAGUGCAGAAGAGGAGAGUGGAAUUCCACGUGUAGCGGUGAAAUGCGUAGAUAUGUGGAGGAACACCAGUGGCGAAGGCGGCUCUCUGGUCUGUAACUGACGCUGUAAGGCGCGAAAGCGUGGGGAAGCAAACAGGAUUAGAUACCCUGGUAGUCCACGCCGUAAACGAUGAGUGCUAGGUGUUGGGGGGUUCCACCCUCAGUGCUGAAGUUAACACAUUAAGCACUCCGCCUGGGGAGUACGACCGCAAGGUUGAAACUCAAAGGAAUUGACGGGGGCCCGCACAAGCAGUGGAGCAUGUGGUUUAAUUCGAAGCAACGCGAAGAACCUUACCAGGUCUUGACAUCCUCUGCCACUCCUAGAGAUAGGACGUUCCCCUUCGGGGGACAGAGUGACAGGUGGUGCAUGGUUGUCGUCAGCUCGUGUCGUGAGAUGUUGGGUUAAGUCCCGCAACGAGCGCAACCCUUGAUCUUAGUUGCCAGCAUUCAGUUGGGCACUCUAAGGUGACUGCCGGUGACAAACCGGAGGAAGGUGGGGACGACGUCAAAUCAUCAUGCCCCUUAUGACCUGGGCUACACACGUGCUACAAUGGACGGUACAAAGGGCAGCAACACCGCGAGGUGAAGCGAAUCCCAUAAAGCCGUUCUCAGUUCGGAUUGCAGGCUGCAACUCGCCUGCAUGAAGCCGGAAUUGCUAGUAAUCGCGGAUCAGCAUGCCGCGGUGAAUACGUUCCCGGGCCUUGUACACACCGCCCGUCACACCACGAGAGUUUGUAACACCCGAAGUCGGGUGAGGUAACCUUUUGGAGCCAGCCGCCGAAAGGUGGGACAAAUGAUUGGGGUGAAGUCGUAACAAGGUAGCCGUAUCGGAAGGUGCGGCUG